UUGCUGUGAUGACAAUCUUAGGACACCUUUGGAUUAACCAUGAAAAAAACUAUGUUCUGAGCAAC